GUUUAUUCUCGGCUGAGAGUGAACGCGGGGGGCACGCCUCACACGUACAUGUGGGACGGUAGCACAGAGACCUUGUUCUUGGGUGACGAGUGGCGGACGGGUGAGUAAUGUCUGGGGAUCUGCCCGAUAGAGGGGGAUAACCACUGGAAACGGUGGCUAAUACCGCAUAACGUCGCAAGACCAAAGAGGGGGACCUUCGGGCCUCUCACUAUCGGAUGAACCCAGAUGGGAUUAGCUAGUAGGCGGGGUAAUGGCCCACCUAGGCGACGAUCCCUAGCUGGUCUGAGAGGAUGACCAGCCACACUGGAACUGAGACACGGUCCAGACUCCUACGGGAGGCAGCAGUGGGGAAUAUUGCACAAUGGGCGCAAGCCUGAUGCAGCCAUGCCGCGUGUAUGAAGAAGGCCUUCGGGUUGUAAAGUACUUUCAGCGGGGAGGAAGGCGGUGCGGUUAAUAACCGCGCCGAUUGACGUUACCCGCAGAAGAAGCACCGGCUAACUCCGUGCCAGCAGCCGCGGUAAUACGGAGGGUGCAAGCGUUAAUCGGAAUUACUGGGCGUAAAGCGCACGCAGGCGGUCUGUUAAGUCAGAUGUGAAAUCCCCGGGCUUAACCUGGGAACUGCAUUUGAAACUGGCAGGCUUGAGUCUUGUAGAGGGGGGUAGAAUUCCAGGUGUAGCGGUGAAAUGCGUAGAGAUCUGGAGGAAUACCGGUGGCGAAGGCGGCCCCCUGGACAAAGACUGACGCUCAGGUGCGAAA
rnacentral:rRNA from 1 species